rnacentral:rRNA from 1 species
UUAAGCCCCAGUAAACGGCGGUGGUAACUAUAACCAUCCUAAGGUAGCGAAAUUCCUUGUCGGGUAAGUUCCGACCUGCACGAAUGGCAUAAUGAUGGCGGCGCUGUCUCCAGCAGAGACUCAGUGAAAUCGAAAUCGCAGUGAAGAUGCUGUGUACCCGCGGCUAGACGGAAAGACCCCGUGAACCUUUACUACAGCUUUACAUUGAACUUUGACCUUACCUGUGUAGGAUAGGUGGGAGGCUUUGAAGCAGGCACGCCAGUGUCUGUGGAGCCAUCCUUGAAAUACCACCCUGGUAAUGUUGGGGUUCUAACUCAAGCUUAACAGAGCUGAGGACAAUGUAUGGUGGGUAGUUUGACUGGGGCGGUCUCCUCCUAAAGAGUAACGGAGGAGUACGAAGGUGCGCUCAGAACGGUCGGAAAUCGUUCGAAGAGUAUAAAGGCAAAAGCGCGCUUAACUGCGAGACCCACAAGUCGAGCAGAUACGAAAGUAGGUCUUAGUGAUCCGGUGGUUCUGUAUGGAAGGGCCAUCGCUCAACGGAUAAAAGGUACUCUGGGGAUAACAGGCUGAUACCGCCCAAGAGUUCAUAUCGACGGCGGUGUUUGGCACCUCGAUGUCGGCUCAUCUCAUCCUGGGGCUGAAGCAGGUCCCAAGGGUAUGGCUGUUCGCCAUUUAAAGAGGUACGCGAGCUGGGUUUAGAACGUCGUGAGACAGUUCGGUCCCUAUCUACCGUGGGCGUUGGAAAUUUGAGAGGAUCUGCUCCUAGUACGAGAGGACCAGAGUGGACGAACCUCUGGUGUUUCGGUUGUGACGCCAGUCGCAUUGCCGAGUAGCUAUGUUCGGAUGGGAUAACCGCUGAAAGCAUCUAAGCGGGAAGCCCACCUUAAGAUUAGAUUUCCCUAAAGAGCCGUUGUAGACUACGACGUUGAUAGGUUGGGUGUGGAAGCAUAGUGAUAUGUGUAGCUAACCAAUACUAAUUGCUCGUUUG